GUUAUUAUAGUACUAUAUUCUUUCGAGCAAAAAAUGCCAUGCCGCAGAUUGGUUUAUUAGACAUAACCAAACAUUUAAUUUAUCGAACGAAGUGGGUGGCGGGUGGCGGCCGUGGCGGGAACUUACUGUAGUUCGUCAUGUUUCAUUUAUAUUUAUACGUGAGUAAUGGAACAUCUCUCUAAUAUGCUGAAUUUUUAUUUGGUUUGGGUUUUAAUAGUUUUUUUGAGACAAACUGAAGUGCAAUCUUCAAUUAGGGUAUACGAGAAAUAAGAUCACUUCCUUAUUAAGUGUCUUCUAAUAAGAUUCCAGAAAUCCAACUAUCAUCACCUAUAGGCAUAUUAGAAGGAAUGAAAUUUGCAAUAUUGUGAACAGUAAUAAAAAAGGAUGAUACCAAGAACUAAGAGGAAACGUUUGGAGGAUUGGCAGCAGAAGAAAACAUAAAUACUACUUUCUGUUGAAAAACGUUCAUAUAAAUAAUUUUUAAAUAUACCAUGAAAAUAUU